rnacentral:rRNA from 1 species
UAACCCGUACAACGUGCAAGAGACACUACAGGACUCGAGACCGGGAGGAGUCAGAAGUAUUCCAGGGGGAGCGGUAAAAUGUUAUAAUUCCCUGGAGGACUACCUAUGGCGAAGGCAUCUGACCAGAACGGAUCUGACGGUGAGGGACGAAAGCCAGGGGAGCGAACCGGAUUAGAUACCCGAGUAGUCCUGGCCGUAAACGCUGUGAGCUAGGUGUUGCGUCAGCGACCUGCUGGCGCAGUGUCGAAACGAAGGUGUUAGGCUCACCGCCUGGGAAGUACGGUCGCAAGACUGAAACUUUAAGGAAUUGGCGGGGGAGCACCACAAGGGGUGCGGCGUGCGGUUUAAUCUAACUCAACGCAGAGAACCUCACUAGGGGCGACGGCAGGAUGAAGAUCAGCUUGAAGAGCUUAUCUGACAAGCCGAGAGGUGGUGCAUGGCCGCCGUCAGCUCGUGCUGUGAAGUGUCCUCUUAAGUGAGGCAACGAGCGAGACCUGUAUCUGCAAUUGCUAACAGCCACAUGUGGGACUGAGCACUUUGCAGAGACUGCUCCGGAAACGGAGAGGAAGGUGCAGGCUACGGUAGGUCUGUAUGCCCCGAAUCCCCUAGGCUACACGCGCGCAACAAUGGUUAGGACAAUGGGAUGCAACUCCGAAAGGAGAAGCUAAACCUCUAAACCUAAUCCAAGUCUAGAUUGAGGCUUGCAACUCAGCCUCAUGACAACGGAAUCCCUAGUAAUNNGAAGUCAUCUCUUCUGGGAAUA